GUGGAUGAAUGAUGAGUUCCCGUCUUUGAUGGAAGAAAUGUGUUCUUUCUACCGUGUCAUUAAUGCAAAAGCUAGUUCAUGAGGUGGAUUUUCAUAAAUAUUGUUCUCCUCUUUUCAGAUCUCAUCUCAGGCAUUUCCUGUUUGCUAGCGGCGUCCCGUCUUAUGUGGACAUCAAGAUAUAUAAGAUCUAUGGCUGGCAGGACUUUGCUUUCGCACCUCGCAGAGGCACAAAAUAACAGAACUAAUGAAAUUGAUUUAACCGAGUGGUAUUAUGAUGACGUUCAAUCGUUCCCAAAAGAUCUUUUAGAAAAGUUUAUUCAAAGCGAUCUUGAC